rnacentral:rRNA from 1 species
AGUGAACGCUGGCGGUAGGCCUAACACAUGCAAGUCGAACGGCAGCACAGGAGAGCUUGCUCUCUGGGUGGCGAGUGGCGGACGGGUGAGGAAUACAUCGGAAUCUACUCUGUCGUGGGGGAUAACGUAGGGAAACUUACGCUAAUACCGCAUACGACCUACGGGUGAAAGCAGGGGAUCUUCGGACCUUGCGCGAUUGAAUGAGCCGAUGUCGGGUUAGCUAGUUGGCGGGGUAAAGGCCCACCAAGGCGACGACCCGUAGCUGGUCUGAGAGGAUGAUCAGCCACACUGGAACUGAGACACGGUCCAGACUCCUACGGGAGGCAGCAGUGGGGAAUAUUGGACAAUGGGCGCAAGCCUGAUCCAGCCAUACCGCGUGGGUGAAGAAGGCCUUCGGGUUGUAAAGCCCUUUUGUUGGGAAAGAAAUCCAGCUGGCUAAUACCCGGUUGGGAUGACGGUACCCAAAGAAUAAGCACCGGCUAACUUCGUGCCAGCCGCCGCGGUAA